CAAUAAUUUACAUUCGAAAAGCCUAGUUCCACGUCAUGACGUCAUCCUUUGAUGUGCCUUCUAUCCGUGCGCUUCAAAGUGGGAGCCGAGUCCAUAGGUUGAACACUGCGUUCUAUUUCAGGUUAUUCGGUUUGCACAGACAAACGAUUUCAACAGCGCAACUGAUAAUUCGGUCAAGUUUACAGCCAUGCUGAGAAGAAGCAGACGCUUACAGGAAAAUGGAUAUUAUGGCAGUGACGGCGAGCCAGUCAUCUGCUAUAAUGAGAGGACAAACAGGGUUUUCAAAAAACUCAAAGGUGGUUUUCAUGCCAGAUUUGAUACGUUUCCA